rnacentral:tRNA from 1 species
UGGGGUAUGGCUCAAAGGUACAGCAUAUGCUUAGCAUGCAUGAAUCCCAAGGUUCAAUCUCUGACACUGCAA